UGCAACCAUGAGUUACCCUGCCCUGUCUUCACUAAACAUUGCAUCUCACUACCACCUGUGAAGAAGCCUGUGCAGCUCCCCAGAAUGGCAGUGGGAGCAGUAGCAUACACAGUGUCCUGCACAACGGGAGUCUCACCAAAAGGCUUGUAAUGACCUAAGUGACUGCAUUGGUCCUGCUCGUUUAGAAAUGGGUGGCUUUCUGCCUAUAUGAGAUCUGCAUAUGCUGGAAGAAGAAAGAAGAGGUGAAGAAGAAAUAUGAGAGAAAUUAACAGACAAGAAACUUCACCAUGUGCAUGAAGCUCCAGGUUCAGAGACGUGAGCACAA